AAAAACAUUUCAAAAACCCAUCAAUAAAUUAAUGCUAAGCCUGGUGUCAGCACAAGUAAAGCCAGGAGGCCCGCCAGGCUUAUAAUACACUGUGGGAAACC